rnacentral:rRNA from 1 species
GACGUAGGGCGCGAGCGUUGUCCGGAUUUACUGGGCGUAAAGGGCGCGUAGGCGGUCAGCACAAGUCAGUUGUGAAAUCUCCGGGCUUAACUCGGAAAGGUCAACUGAUACUGUGCGACUAGAGUGCGGAAGGGGCAACUGGAAUUCUCGGUGUAGCGGUGAAAUGCGUAGAUAUCGAGAGGAACACCUGCGGCGAAGGCGGGUUGCUGGGCCGACACUGACACUGAGAGACGAAAGCUAGGGGGAGCGAAUGGG